rnacentral:rRNA from 1 species
UACGGAGGGUGCUAGCGUUGUUCGGAAUCACUGGGCGUAAAGCGCGUGUAGGCGGCCCACUAAGUCUGAUGUGAAAGCCCGGGGCUCAACCCCGGGUCGGCCGUGCCGACUGUUGGACUAGAGUGCUGUAGGGGCAGGCGGAAUUCCGGGUGUAGCGGUGGAAUGCGCAGAUAUCAGGAGGAACACCGGUGGCGAAGGCGGUUCUCUGGGCCUUACCUGACGCUGAGGAGCGAAAGCGUGGGGAGCGAACAGG